AGCUGUUUUAUUCUCUCCAGUAGUCUCGCUGUAGGUUAUUAAUCCGUGGUCUCGACGUUGUACGCUGGAUUAUGAGAAAACAGUAAGCAUGACGUGUGUUGUGAAGGUUGAAAGUUGAAAUAGUUGGUUUGCAAGUGACAGUGAAGUAACUGCAAACAAUAUGUUUGAAUAUAACGGCAAUGGCACAGAGUCUGGUGUCUGUAACAUAAUUUCAUCAACCAUUGGUGAAGUGUAAAUAAAUGGAGGAAUCUGACUUAAUGAUCAGUGAUGUAUAGGUACUUCGAGGCCUCGGGAAGGAGUCUGCAGAACUGAAACCGGUGGACAACUGAAAGAAGAGGUGUCGGACUGCGCAAAAGUUUGGUGAGAGGAAGGCUUAAGAACUAUGGCAGAUACGUAUGGCACACAAAGGCAAACAUUGACCAGUUGCAAAAGUGACUCUUCUUUGAAGAUAUGUAGAAGCAGACAUAAUUGAAACGUAAUGUAGAACUGACUAUGGAACAAAUUUGAUAGAUUUAAUUUCUCACGUUGAAACAGUUUCCGUAAACAUGGCUCAAAAUAUGCCAUUAGAACAUGACAACAAUCAACUUUAUCAAUGCCAUCUGUCAGACACUUAAAGUGUGAUGCAA